rnacentral:rRNA from 1 species
UACGGAGGAUGCGAGCGUUAUCCGGAUUUAUUGGGUUUAAAGGGUGCGCAGGCGGCACGGCAAGCCGGCGGUCAAAUCGCGGGGCUCAACCCCGCCCAGCCGUCGGAACUGCCGGGCUAGAGUGGGCGAGAAGUGCGCGGAAUGCGUGGUGUAGCGGUGAAAUGCAUAGAUAUCACGCAGAACUCCGAUUGCGAAGGCAGCGCACCGGCGCUCUACUGACGCUCAGGCACGAAAGCGUGGGUAUCGAACAGG